rnacentral:rRNA from 1 species
GAGUUUGAUCCUGGCUCAGGAUGAACGCUAGCGGCAGGCUUAACACAUGCAAGUCGAGGGGUAACGGGGAAGCUUGCUUCCGCCGACGACCGGCGCACGGGUGCGUAACGCGUAUACAAUCUACCUUAUACUGGGGUAUAGCCUUUAGAAAUGAAGAUUAACCCCCCAUAGUCUCUUAGAGUGGCAUCACUUCUAGAGUAAAGGUUACGGUAUAAGAUGAGUAUGCGUUCUAUUAGUUUGUUGGUGUGGUAACGGCACACCAAGACUACGAUAGAUAGGGGCCCUGAGAGGGGGAUCCCCCACACUGGUACUGAGACACGGACCAGACUCCUACGGGAGGCAGCAGUGAGGAAUAUUGGACAAUGGAGGCAACUCUGAUCCAGCCAUGCCGCGUGCAGGAAGACUGCCCUAUGGGUUGUAAACUGCUUUUAUACAGGAAGAAACACCUCUACGUGUAGAGGCUUGACGGUACUGUAAGAAUAAGGAUCGGCUAACUCCGUGCCAGCAGCCGCGGUAAUACGGAGGAUCCAAGCGUUAUCCGGAAUCAUUGGGUUUAAAGGGUCCGUAGGUGGAUAAUUAAGUCAGAGGUGAAAUCUUGCAGCUCAACUGUAAAAUUGCCUUUGAAACUGGUUAUCUUGAGUUAUUAUGAAGUAGUUAGAAUAUGUAGUGUAGCGGUGAAAUGCAUAGAUAUUACAUAGAAUACCAAUUGCGAAGGCAGAUUACUAAUAAUCAACUGACACUGAUGGACGAAAGCGUGGGUAGCGAACAGGAUUAGAUACCCUGGUAGUCCACGCCGUAAACGAUGACAACUAGCUGUUAGGAGACUAUGUCUUUUAGUGGCGCAGCUAACGUUUUAAGUUGUCCGCCUGGGGAGUACGGCCGCAAGGCUAAAACUCAAAUGAAUUGACGGGGGCCCGCACAAGCGGUGGAGCAUGUGGUUUAAUUCGAAGCAACGCGCAGAACCUUACCAGCCCUUGACAUGUGGAGUUUGGUUAUCAGAGAUGAUUUCCUUCAGUUCGGCUGGCUCCAAC